GCAUCGAUGAAGAACGCAGCGAAAUGCGAUAAGUAAUGUGAAUUGCAGAAUUCAGUGAAUCAUCGAAUCUUUGAACGCAACUUGCGCUCUCUGGUAUUCCGGAGAGCAUGCCUGUUUGAGUGUCAU
rnacentral:rRNA from 1 species